rnacentral:rRNA from 1 species
UACAGAGGUCCCAAGCGUUGUUCGGAUUCACUGGGCGUAAAGGGUGCGUAGGCGGUCGGGUAAGUCUGAUGUGAAAUCUCACAGCUUAACUGUGAAACUGCAUUGGAUACUAUCCGGCUCGAGGAAUGGAGGGGAGACUGGAAUACUUGGUGUAGCAGUGAAAUGCGUAGAUAUCAAGUGGAACACCAGUGGCGAAGGCAGCUCGCUGGGACGGUACUGACGCUGAGACGCGAAAGCGUGGGGAGCAAACAGG